GUAAGUCCGCAACGAGCGCAACCCUUGAUUUAGUUGCCAGCAUUCAGUUGGGCACUCUAAGGUGACUGCCGGUGACAAACCGGAGGAAGGUGGGGAUGACGUCAAAUCAUCAUGCCCCUUAUGACCUGGGCUACACACGUGCUACAAUGGACAGAACAAAGGGCUGCGAGACCGCAAGGUUUAGCCAAUCCCACAAAUCUGUUCUCAGUUCGGAUCGCAGUCUGCAACUCGACUGCGUGAAGCUGGAAUCGCUAGUAAUCGCGGAUCAGCAUGCCGCGGUGAAUACGUUCCCGGGCCUUGUACACACCGCCCGUCACACCACGAGAGUUUGCAACACCCGAAGUCGGUGAGGUAACCUUUAUGGAGCCAGCCGCCGAAGGUGGGCAGAUGAUGGGUG
rnacentral:rRNA from 1 species